CUAACGCCCUAAGUAUUGAUGGCAUUGAACGAAGAAAACACUCGAAGCGUUUCAAAACGUCACCGAUAAUGAGAAAGUGGAUGGGUUCAGGCUGGCCAGUAGGCAGAAGUGAGGAGUUUGAGAACCGGAGGAACCAAUCAGUGUACUGCGAGAACCCUCAGGGAGUGGACUACUGUGACCAGCGUGCGACUCCAAGAGCCAAGCCCCCCGUGCGUCACCGCGACAGCUCCCCCCUGGCGCACGCCCAGCAGCGGCCCUCGCUGUCCGACAGGAAGUCCGCCCCCCUGGACAGGAAGCAGGGCAGCCCAUCGGUCCUGCGUAAGUUUGGCGCCAUGCUUCAGGAGAACGAGGGCAAGCUGCUGACGGACGCGGGCGUGGUGGCGCCCUCCCCUCCCCCAUCUGUAGCCAACUCCUCCCCGCUCAGCCCCCGCCGCUCACACACACGCA
ensembl:lncRNA